rnacentral:lncRNA from 1 species
CCAUUACGUAAAUGUAAUAUUUUCACAACAGCAUUGACCAAGUGAAAUAAUACGAUAUUGAUACAUAAAAAAAUAUAAAAUCGUGCACAGAAAACUACGUUCAUAUGCAUGCAUUGGUUCAAGUAUUGGAGUAACGUUAUUUUCACCAGUCACUCGUUUUAUGCGAUUUUAGCUAUCAAUUCAUCUUCAUAGGUGUGACAAAAAGUCAUUUACAUUUCAUUACAGUAUAAAUAAACCCA